UGGGGAAUAUUGGACAAUGGGGGAAACCCUGAUCCAGCGACGCCGUGUGUGUGAAGAAGGCCUGAGGGUUGUAAAGCACUUUAGGCGGUGAGGAUUGAUACGUGGAAGAAAAGCCAUGUACUUGACGUUAGCCGUAGAAUAAGCACCGGCAAACUCUGUGCCAGCAGCCGCGGUAAUACAGAGGGUGCAAGCGUUAAUCGGAGUGACUGGGCGUAAAGGGCGCGUAGGCGGUUAUGGAGGUUAGAUGUGAAAUACCUGAGCUUAACUUGGGGACGGCAUCUAAGACACUGUAGCUAGAGUGCAGUAGAGGGUAUUGGAAUUUCCGGUGUAGCGGUAAAAUGCGUAGAGAUCGGAAGGAAUAUCGGUGGCGAAGGCGAAUGCCUGGACUGCAACUGACGCUGAGGCGCGAAAGCGUGGGGAGCAAACAGG
rnacentral:rRNA from 1 species